AAAUAGGCCGCGGGCACAGCCGCGCCCAAAAAUAACCGCCCAAAGGCCGGGGCGCCAAGUUUGUCCAGCGGAAAAAGGCCACAAAAACGGGUGGGCUAUAGCCUUGGGGGGUGGGGCUGGCCAACUUCGUCCGCCGGACUCGGAAUGGCGCGAGACUUUGUGAGGCGCCUCCGUGUGCCAAAAAUAGGCCGCGGGCACAGCCGCGCCCAAAAAUAACCGCCCGAAGGCCGGGGCGCCAAGUUUGUCCAGCGGAAAAAGGCCACAAAAACGGGUGGGCUAUAGGCUUGGGGGGUGGGGCUGGCCGACUUCGUCCGCCGGACUCGGAAUGGCGCGAGACUUUACAAGGCGCCUCCGUGUGCCAAAAAUAGGGUGCGGGCACAGCCACGUCCAAAAAUAACCGCCCGAAGGCCGGGGCGACAAGUUCGUCCAGCGGAAAAAGACCACAAAAACGGGUGGGCUAUAGCCUUGGGGGGCGGGGCUGGCGAAGUUCAUCCGCUGGACUCGGNNN
rnacentral:lncRNA from 1 species